rnacentral:rRNA from 1 species
CCUACGGGUGGCAGCAGUGAGGAAUAUUGGUCAAUGGGCGGGAGCCUGAACCAGCCAAGUCGCGUGAGGGAAGACGGUCCUAUGGAUUGUAAACCUCUUUAGGCGGGGAGCAAUGCCGGGCACGUGUGCCCGGAGGGAGAGGACCCGCAGAAUAAGCAUCGGCUAACUCCGUGCCAGCAGCCGCGGUACUAAGGAGGAUGCGAGCGUUAUCCGGAUUGCUGGGGUUGAAAGGGUGCGUAGGCGGAUUUUGAAGUCAGCGGUCAAAUGUCCGGGCUCAACCCGGGCCGGCCGUUGAAACUGGGGAUCUUGAGUGGGCGAGAAGUAUGCGGAAUGCGUUGUGUAGCGGU